GUGUCAGCAGCCGCGGUAAUACGGGGGGUGCGAGCGUUGUUCGGAAUUAUUGGGCGUAAAGAGCGUGUAGGCGGCUGGACAAGUCAGAUGUGAAAGCCCUGGGCUUAACCCAGGAAGUGCAUUUGAAACUGUCCGGCUAGAGUAGGGGAGAGGAAAGUGGAAUUCCUGGUGUAGAGGUGAAAUUCGUAGAUAUCAGGAGGAACACCGGUGGCGAAGGCGACUUUCUGGCCCUAUACUGACGCUGAGACGCGAGAGCGUGGGUAGCAAACAGGAUUAGAUACCCUGGUAGUCCACGCUGUAAACGAUGUUCACUAGGUGUUGGGGGUAUUGACCCCCUCAGUGCCGCAGCUAACGCAUUAAGUGAACCGCCUGGGGAGUACGGUCGCAAGAUUAAAACUUAAAUGAAUUGACGGGG
rnacentral:rRNA from 1 species